UACGAAGGUGGCAAGCGUUGUUCGGAUUUACUGGGCGUAAAGGGCUCGUAGGCGGCCAACUAAGUCAGACGUGAAAUCCCUGGGCUCAACCCAGGAACUGCGUCCGAUACUGGAAGGCUUGAAUCCGGGAGAGGGAUGCGGAAUUCCAGGUGUAGCGGUGAAAUGCGUAGAUAUCUGGAGGAACACCGGUGGCGAAGGCGGCAUCCUGGACCGGUAUUGACGCUGAGGAGCGAAAGCCAGGGGGGAGCAAACGGG
rnacentral:rRNA from 1 species